UCCAUAAACCGGUUAUUUUAGUGACAUGUUAGUGAUUUGGUUUACCACUAUGGUGAAGUCAUAGUCUUGCUUAAGUUGUUGGAUAAGUUGUAACGACUCAAAUAGUAGAUAUUGCUACAUGAAGCGUUUUGAACCUUCCUUGGAUUCUACAUCUAUCUCGAACUUAUGACUUCAGUGUUUCGCCGCUACGUGGCAGCUUCGUUCUUACUCUAUGUUGAAGGCGCCUGUGAACACUGCUGGCCUACCAUUAAUCAGCUUGCCUCCACACCGGCCACAUUUACAUUCCGGUCAGCUACCCAGGUUUGGACCCCAUGAGACCUGCCUAAGUUGAAGAUUGCAGUGGAGGGCAGCUGGUGAUGGGCAAGCUUGAAUAUCUGCUGGAGGAGCAUAGAGGGAGUAGAAAAGGUGAAGUACUUGAAGAAGCUCCCCUAAACAUCCCAGUGGAUUCCCCUACCUUGACAACUGUGUGUCUGUUGCACAGGCCACUGACCACUGACUCGAAUGUGUCUAGCUGUGGGUGACUGGGAAAGACCACAGCUGGCAUCCAUGAGGGAGAUUGCCAGCUGGCCCAAGUUUCAGUAGCCAUGGAUGGGGAGGCAGUCCUGAUUUGUCCUAGGAACAUCAUUUUUCACAAGUUACCGAGAUGAUGGGCAAGUCUAGUGAGGGAUUAUCAAGUAUAUAUUCUCCAUCUGUCUGGUAGCAAGACCCAUGUUGCUGCUGCUGUAUCAUCCUAGCCAUCUAGCCCAUUAAUAUCAAG